GGUUAAAAUGGAAAUGAGCCAUUUUAACGGUAAAUAGACCACAUUACAUAUGAUGUUUCAGUGAAAGCGAAACCAUGCGAUAUCAUCGUCCAUAUUCUUUAGAACGCUAGCUUGAUACGUUUGUGUCCCGUCAAGAUUAGUUAAAACACGGAGGGAACGAGUGAAUUGAUCGAAGAAUAACUGCGUGAACCGAAAGCCUUGGCUGGUGAUCGAAAGACUGCGACAAACAUGGAUGGAGAAAGAGAAAGAUAUAAGGUUUUUACUUUAAACGUGAAUCAUCUUUUUCGUCCUGCGAGAACGUUACCAUUUUACGAUCAUCGUCAAUCAUUAUUGCAUUUACAGUUGGUCGUUUAUUUCUUAUGGGAAGAAAAUAAAAAUGAUUACAAAAGAAAAAAAAAAAUCGCUGGCUGUUCAACGGAUCUAUUGAGGUUAGACCGUGAAACGUCGACGAACGAACGCAAACAAAAUGAUCUAGGAUGAUAAACGCUUCUUUCGUUUUAAUCUCGAUUUAAAGUAGCACUCUAUUGGGGUCCAGAUGUACAUUCAUCUAUAUCUCAUCAAUAAAUCUGGCAGCAAAAGAAGUAUGGAAUUCAUUCGAUUAGUUAUUAAGAGUCUCAUCUAUAUUCGCAAGAAAUGUACGUGGAUUCUAGUUUCGAUGAUAAAUUAUAUUUCCUUUCCAUUUAAUAUUCAAUACAAUUUAUAUUUAGUUUACAAAAAUAACAUGAUUUCAUUUGAUUAUCAAUUUAGAAUCGUAUAGAAAGAAAAAGGUUGAUUUAAUCCGUGUACAUUUUUUGCUUCUAGAUUAGUAAAACGUUCUCGAAAAUCGUCGCGAAUCCUUAGAAACCUCCCAAAAAUCGAUUCGAUUAAAAAUAAAAAAAAAAAAAAAAAAAAAAAAAAAGAAAAGAAAAAAAAAUUUCUGACACCGAUAUCAUAUUGAUUCUAGAAAAUUAUACGAAUCGCUUUUAUCGAUCGCGUUCCCUUUUGUCUUGGAGCCUUCUUUGAACGACGCGAUUCUUCAUCUGACGAGGAUUGAUCUCGAUCUAGAGGAUCCCGAGUCCGAUUCAUUACCGUCCCCGAACCGUGUGCAAUGCUAGAAAUUAGAGAAACUCGUAGUAGACUAUCCGUGACGAGUGUCGAAGUCUGUGAAAUCGCGUAAACGACGCUGUUUCCCGGACACUUCGAGAGAGAAAAGGGACACGCACAUUUUUCGAUCGCUAGGACAAGAGUCGUUCGUUGCAAAUGGAAUUAUCGAUCGAUCCUGACUGUUUGAUCGUUCGACGCGAAGAAAAGGAAAAGAAAAGGAUCGAAUACACACCUGUUGCGCCUAUAGUUACGCAAGAGAAAGAAAAGAAAGUAAUAGGAUAAAAGAAGAGGGAGGAUAAGAUAUCGCGUUUGAGGUUAUCAAUGAUAAAUAUUGUUAGAAGGAGGAGAUACGAAUAAACUAAAUAGUAAAAGGCUGAAUGAGAAGAUCUUUAAACUUGUACAAAUGUUCAAGGUGUGUAUAUAUUUAUUAUAAAAAAAGGGGGGGAGGGGAAAGAUGAGUUAUGAAGAAGAAAAUGGCGAACAAUGUGGAAGAAAACGUCGAAUCGUCUGGCAGUCCUUGUUUCGAUGGAGGAUAAUACGAGAACGAAAGGAUGAAUAACAACAAGUGUGUGUGUGUGUGUAUGUGUGCGUGUGUGGGUGUGUGAGUGUAUGUAUGCGAGCAAAGUGGAACAAGAUGGGGGUGAAUGAUCAUACGAUUGAACGAGUCAGAGGAAGGUGGAACGUUUCAUUAAACAUUUUAUUGUUCGUUGUAAUAAACUUCUAGAGAAAUGAUAUGCAUUAUUAAAGAGAGAAGAAUUCUAAACGGUUAUAUUUCUUUGUGCAUAUAUACAUAUAUAAAUUGAUAUAUGUGUAUAUAUACAUAGCUCGAAGGGAAGGAAAUCGAUGAACAUAUUUAAUAUUGCUAUGAUGUGGCGUUUAACUCGUAUCGAUAUGCCCGCGAGGAUGUGAAUGGAAGAUAGGAUGAUUGUGAAUUGUAAAGUUUCGCGAGAAAGAUAGAGAGGAAGCGGAAGUUGUGGACAGGAAAUAAAGAUAAAUAGGUGGACAAAAAAAAAAAAAAAAAAGGAAAAAUAAAA